rnacentral:rRNA from 1 species
AUUGAACGCUGGCGGAAUGCUUUACACAUGCAAGUCGAACGGUAAGGCCCUUCGGGGUACACGAGUGGCGAACGGGUGAGUAACACGUGGGUGAUCUGCCCUGCACUUCGGGAUAAGCCUGGGAAACUGGGUCUAAUACCGGAUAGGACUCCUGGCUUCAUGGUUGGGGGUGGAAAGCUUUUGCGGUGUGGGAUGGGCCCGCGGCCUAUCAGCUUGUUGGUGGGGUAAUGGCCUACCAAGGCGACGACGGGUAGCCGGCCUGAGAGGGUGACCGGUCACACUGGGACUGAGAUACGGCCCAGACUCCUACGGGAGGCAGCAGUGGGGAAUAUUGCACAAUGGGCGCAAGCCUGAUGCAGCGACGCCGCGUGAGGGAUGACGGCCUUCGGGUUGUAAACCUCUUUCAGCUAUGACGAAGCGCAAGUGACGGUAGUAGCAGAAGAAGGACCGGCCAACUACGUGCCAGCAGCCGCGGUAA